rnacentral:rRNA from 1 species
GAUGAACGCUGGCGGCAUGCUUAAUACAUGCAAGUCGGACGGAAAGAGGUGUUUCUUGUGGCGGACGGGUGAGCAACGCGUAAGAAACUGCCCUUGGGAGGGGCACAAUAGCUGGAAAGGGCAGCUUAUACCACCCAGGCCGAGGAGCAAAAGGUGGAAUCAGCCUGAGGGUGGGAACGCGUAUGACUUGCUAGUUGGUGCGUCAAUAGCUUACCAAGGCGAUGGUCCGUAGCUGGUACGAGAGGAUGAUCAGCCACACUGGGACUGAGACACGGCCCAGACUCCUACGGGAAGCAGCAGUGAGGAAUUUGCCGCAAUGGGCGAUAGCCUGACGGGGCAAUGCCGCGUGGAGGUAGAGGUCCUACGGGUCGUGAACUUCUUUUCCCGGAGAAGAAGCAAUGACGGUAUCUGGUGAAUAAGCAUCGGCUAACUCUGUG